rnacentral:rRNA from 1 species
GUGAACGCCGGCGGUAGGCCUAACACAUGCAAGUCGAACGGCAGCACAGUAAGAGCUUGCUCUUACGGGUGGCGAGUGGCGGACGGGUGAGGAAUACAUCGGAAUCUACUUUUUCGUGGGGGAUAACGUAGGGAAACUUACGCUAAUACCGCAUACGACCUACGGGUGAAAGCAGGGGAUCUUCGGACCUUGCGCGAUUGAAUGAGCCGAUGUCGGAUUAGCUAGUUGGCGGGGUAAAGGCCCACCAAGGCGACGAUCCGUAGCUGGUCUGAGAGGAUGAUCAGCCACACUGGAACUGAGACACGGUCCAGACUCCUACGGGAGGCAGCAGUGGGGAAUAUUGGACAGUGGGCGCAAGCCUGAUCCAGCCAUACCGCGUGGGUGAAGAAGGCCUUCGGGUUGUAAAGCCCUUUUGUUGGGAAAGAAAAGCAGCAGGUUAAUACCCCGCUGUUCUGACGGUACCCAAAGAAUAAGCACCGGCUAACUUCGUG